rnacentral:rRNA from 1 species
AGAGUUUGAUCCUGGCUCAGAGUGAACGCUGGCGGUAGGCCUAACACAUGCAAGUCGAACGGCAGCACAGGAGAGCUUGCUCUCAGGGUGGCGAGUGGCGGACGGGUGAGGAAUACAUCGGAAUCUACUCUGUCGUGGGGGAUAACGUAGGGAAACUUACGCUAAUACCGCAUACGACCUACGGGUGAAAGCAGGGGACCUUCGGGCCUUGCGCGAUUGAAUGAGCCGAUGUCGGAUUAGCUAGUUGGCGGGGUAAAGGCCCACCAAGGCGACGAUCCGUAGCUGGUCUGAGAGGAUGAUCAGCCACACUGGAACUGAGACACGGUCCAGACUCCUACGGGAGGCAGCAGUGGGGAAUAUUGGACAAUGGGCGCAAGCCUGAUCCAGCCAUACCGCGUGGGUGAGGAAGGCCUUCGGGUUGUAAAGCCCUUUUGUUGGGAAAGAAAUCCAGCUGGCUAAUACCCGGUUGGGAUGACGGUACCCAAAGAAUAAGCACCGGCUAACUUCGUGCCAGCAGCCGCGGUAAUACGAAGGGUGCAAGCGUUACUCGGAAUUACUGGGCGUAAAGCGUGCGUAGGUGGUCGUUUAAGUCCGUUGUGAAAGCCCUGGGCUCAACCUGUGAACUGCAGUGGAUACUGGGCGACUAGAAUGUGGUAGAGGGUAGCGGAAUUCCUGGUGUAGCAGUGAAAUGCGUAUA